rnacentral:rRNA from 1 species
GACGAACGCUGGCGGCGUGCUUAACACAUGCAAGUCGAGCGGUAAGGCCCUUUCGGGGGUACGCGAGCGGCGAACGGGUGAGUAACACGUGGGUGACCUGCCCUCAGCUCUGGGAUAAGCCCGGGAAACUGGGUCUAAUACCGGAUAUGACUCCAUGACGCAUGUUGUGGGGUGGAAAGCCUUGUGCGGCUGAGGAUGGGCCCGCGGCCUAUCAGCUUGUUGGUGGGGUGAUGGCCUACCAAGGCGACGACGGGUAGCCGGCCUGAGAGGGCGACCGGCCACACUGGGACUGAGACACGGCCCAGACUCCUACGGGAGGCAGCAGUGGGGAAUCUUGCGCAAUGGGCGAAAGCCUGACGCAGCGACGCCGCGUGAGGGAUGACGGCCU